UCCAAAGUUCUGAUCCCAGUGGUUUGAGAUAAGCCCCAGUGGCGGGCAGUUGUAAAAGCUCCACAGGUGAUAUGAAUGUGAAACUGCCUCUGGGAAUCAUCAGUCUGCAUAAAAGACUUUUGUAAUUUUUUUUACCUGGAGAAAUUAUUAGGAACAGAGAAGGUUAUAUAACUUGAAAGAAUAUAUCUCAUUGUCUUUUUAGGCUCCAACUUUAUGUUUGUAUUUUAUAACAUAAAAGACUGGACUAUCCAAUUACCAGAAUCUUUUACAGCCUUAAAUUUCUAUGCUCUGUGAUCUGCUUCUCCUCUGUGUGUGUUUAAGAGAUCUCUUUACCAUGUGCCAGAGUCCUGGCUUGAUGGGUGGAAAAGUAAUUUACAAUUGGGAUACAGCAACAUGACAUAGCAUCCAGAUUUUAUGACCAUAAAUUUAGGAUUGAAUCCAAACUCUGCCACUCAUUAACUGUGAGUCAGUUACUUGACUUCUCUUAGCCUCAGAUUUUGCAUCUGUAAUGUGGAGGCAGCAUCUUCUUGAUGGGUGUGUGUGUGUGUGUGUGUGUGUGUGUGUG